rnacentral:rRNA from 1 species
CAGCAGCCGCGGUAAUACCGGCGGCCCGAGUGGCGGUCCCUUUUUUUUGGCUUAAAGCGUCCGUAGCCGGGUUGGGAAGUCCUCCGGGAAAUCUGGCCGCUUAAAGGUCAGAAUGCCGGAGGAUACUCCCAGCCUAGGGAGCGGGCGAGGCCGGGGGGAUUCCCGGGGUAGGGGGGGAAUCCUAUAAUCCCGGGAGGACCACCUGUGGCGAAGGCGCUCGGCUGGAACGCGUCCGACGGUGAGGGACGAAGGCCAGGGGAGCAAACCGGAUUAGAUACCCGGGUAGUCCUGGCGGUAAACGAUGCGGACUUUGUGUCGGACAAGCUAUGAGCUUGUCCGGUGCCGGAGGGAAACCGUUAAGUCCGCCGCCUGGGGAGUACGGCCGCAAGGCUGAAACUUAAAGGAAUUGGCGGG